rnacentral:rRNA from 1 species
CAGUAGCCGCGGUAAUACGAGUGGUGCAAGCGUUAUUCGGAUUGAUUGGGUGUAAAGGGUGUGCAGACGGCUUAUUAAGUCACUUGUUAAAUUCUUCGGCCUAACUGAAGGUCUGCAAGUGAUACUGAUGAGCUAGAGGGUGGAAGAGAGAAGUGGAAUUCUCGGAGUAGCGGUAAAAUGCGUAGAUCUCGAGAGGAACACCAAUGGCGAAGGCAGCUUCUUGGUCCAUUCCUGACGUUCAUACACGAAAGCGUGGGGAGCGAACAGGAUUAGAUACCCGUGUAGUCCCUGUCUCUUAUAC